rnacentral:tRNA from 1 species
GCCGAUGUAGCUCAGCUGGUAGAGCAAUUCAUUCGUAAUGAAUAGGUCGCAGGUUCGAAUCCCGUCAUCGGCUCCG